AGAUUGAACGCUGGCGGCAGGCCUAACACAUGCAAGUCGAGCGGUAGAGAGGUGCUUGCACCUCUUGAGAGCGGCGGACGGGUGAGUAAUGCCUAGGAAUCUGCCUAGUGGUGGGGGAUAACGUUCGGAAACGGACGCUAAUACCGCAUACGUCCUACGGGAGAAAGCGGGGGACCUUCGGGCCUCGCGCCAUUAGAUGAGCCUAGGUCGGAUUAGUUAGUUGGUGAGGUAAUGGCUCACCAAGGCGACGAUCCGUAACUGGUCUGAGAGGAUGAUCAGUCACACUGGAACUGAGACACGGUCCAGACUCCUACGGGAGGCAGCAGUGGGAAUAUGGACAAUGGGCGAAAGCCUAGAUCCAGCCAUGCCGCGUGUGUGAAGAGGUCUUGGAUUGAAAGCAACGUUUAGUGGAGGAAGGUUUAGUAACUUAAUACGUU
rnacentral:rRNA from 1 species